rnacentral:misc_RNA from 1 species
UCUCCGUAGGUGAACCUGCGGAGGGAUCAUUACUGAGUUCUGGGUCUAACCGACCCGACCUCCAACCUUUUGUUAUCCAACUCUGUUGCCUCGCGGGCGACCCGGCCCUCUGGGCGUCGGGGCCCCCGGUGGCUCACACCUCAACUCUUGCAUCUGUGCGUCUGAGUAACAUAUUGAAUCAAUCAAAACUUUCAACAACGGAUCUCUUGGUUCUGGCAUCGAUGAGAACGCAGC